UAUUGGAUGAGCUAUGUCGGAUUAGCUAGUUGGUGAGGUAAAGGCUCACCAAGGCAACGAUCCGUAGCUGGUCUGAGAGGAUGAUCAGCCACAUCGGGACUGAGACACGGCCCCGAACUCCUACGGGACGCAGCAGUGGGGAAUAUUGGACAAUGGGGGCAACCCUGAUCCAGCCAUGCCGCGUGUGUGAAGAAGGCCCUCGGGUUGUAAAGCACUUUCAGCGAGGAAGAACGCUAGUGGUUAAUACCCAUUAGGAAAGACAUCACUCGCAGAAGAAGCACCGGCUAACUCCGUGCCAGCAGCCGCGGUAAUACGGAGGGUGCAAGCGUUAAUCGGAAUUACUGGGCGUAAAGCGCGCGUAGGUGGCUUGAUAAGCCGGUUGUGAAAGCCCCGGGCUCAACCUGGGAACGGCAUCCGGAACUGUCAAGCUAGAGUGCAGGAGAGGAAGGUAGAAUUCCCGGUGUAGCGGUGAAAUGCGUAGAGAUCGGGAGGAAUACCAGUGGCGAAGGCGGCCUUCUGGACUGACACUGACACUGAGGUGCGAAAGCGUGGGUAGCAAACAGGAUUAGAUACCCUGGUAGUCCACGCCGUAAACGAUGUCGACCAGCCGUUGGGUGCCUAGCGCACUUUGUGGCGAAGUAACGCGAUAAGUCGACC
rnacentral:rRNA from 1 species